CUUCAAUGGAGUUGUUGUCUAAAAACAGCUGCAGUGUGUUAGCUGGAAUGCUUAAAGGCAUCUUUUUGAGGGAAUUUUUCGCUAUGUUGAGUUGCAUAAGACUGUUGAGUCCUUGGAAGGUGUCACUUUGAAGAGCGCUGUCCAACAAAUUAUUCUGGUGCAGAUCUAACAUAGUGAGAUUUUCCAAAUUGCUGAAGACUCCUUCUGGGAUUCUGGAGAUUUUGUUUCUAGCCAGCCUUAGCUGUUCCAAGCCCACCGGUAAUGGAGCUGGCACCUCUUCCAACUCAUUAUCUUCAAGGAAUAAGUACAACAGCCUUUUCAGCUUGCUGAGCACACCACUCUCAAUUCCAUUGUUGGUGAUUUUAUUCUUGUUCAGAUUUAUCCAUCUCAAAUGAGUGGCAUUAACAAAAGGCUUCUCUGAAAUUGUUUCAAUCAGGUUGUUUUGAAGAUAGAGGUACCAAAUUCUUGCUGGGAUUGCAGGUAUUUCUUUAAGUCCUUUGUUAUCACAGUAUAAUGCAUUGGGGAAACUAGGAGGGCAAAAACACUCUUGUGGACACUCAAAAGUGUAGUGAGACCAAUGCUCAGGAUCCAGCUCAUUAUAAACUUGUCUCACAGUUCGAGUCCACACAGAAUGGACUAAGAAUAAUAGCAAAAGACUUGGACAGACUUUUAGAGUCAUCAUUUGCCUCAGCUUUCUUGGAUCUCCCCUUUCUAUUGGUCACUGCUGUUAGACUGUAAUAGCUUGAGUCAGGCUACAAGCCGUGUUCUAUGAAUACAGCCUAAUAUAUACGCAUCAGUGACUACAGCUUUUAACCCCUAAAAUAGCUAAGGCACCUCAGCACCUAGGCAAGAAAAGGCAGGAAAUCCUGACUUUAAUAUCAAGCAACCACAGAGCUGAAGGAAUUUGAUUCUUACAUUUUAGCAAAUGAGAUGAUCUGGUCUAGAUGAAAUUGGUAACAAAAAGUGUUCCCUUAUUCAAUACAUUUGUCAAAUUAUACUUUACACACAAAGCUUGCUUACAUCAUAAUUCAUUCUCAUAAUACCUGAACUGGCCACAAAGCAUUAAAAACAGUGCCAUCUGUUCCUACGGAAAUCUUUUAUUUGAUUUUGAUUAAAUGCAGAUGCUGCCUUUCCAUUUAAAGAUGUAAUUCUUGAUUAGGGGAAGAAGAUAGCAAAAGCAUUUGCUAAGAAUUUUUUAAUAACAUAUAUUUUCAUUUCUUUAAGGAUUAAAACAUGCCUUUUCCUUUUUCCUCUGAGACAUUUUUGCAUAUAUUUCUACUAAGAUAUCAUAUUCCACAGUGCCUCCUGCAGUGAGGUCUGUUUUUAAUUAUCAAGGCACCAAUUAAUUAUCUUGUUUUAUCACUGAUCUAAAGUAAACUGUCUCCAGCCAACUCACUUUCCAAAGCAUAGAUGCAUAUUUCUCACAUUAAAUACUUCGGGGGGGAUUUUUGUUUUCUUUUCUGGUACAAAAAGUAACAGAUAAAUAUCAGGAAAACUAGCCAGCCUCAAAGCCAGAGCAUAAGUAUUUUAAAAGAAAAGUUAAUGAAAAUGCUACAAACAUAAAAUACAUCCUCAAAGUUUUUAUGAGUUUAUGUUUGUUAUAAAAUGUAUAAUAAAUUAAAUUCAGUUCAAUAUAGUUUUUUUAGUAAUAAAAUCUCCAAUAACUUAUUUAAUAAUGUUUAGUACUUUGAUUCCCAAAUUCAGAAUGUCUAAAAAGUGGUAUAAGAAAUAUCUACCAACUUAGUCUUCAUUUUAAUCCUCAUUCUUUUAUUUUGCAAAAAUGACAUAAAUAAACGGAAAUCAACCCUUAAGUACAUUUUCAGCUUCCACUGACUUCAGUAAGGCUAAUGUUAAGCACAUUUUAAACUUUUGUUGACAAGCACAUAUUUGUACUAGCUUGCUUUUUGUUUAUGGAAAAAAAAUACAUCUUUAUUAC
rnacentral:lncRNA from 1 species